AGAGGUGGUGAAGCUUUCGAGAAUAUGGGUUUUGCCCAUUUGUAAACAGCGUAGCGUAGGCCAUUGAGUGGGCUCUGAAACUCGAAGGGUUUUGAUCACACGCCAAAAUCUCUCAGCCCAUUUUGAAAAUCAAAGUGCUUGUGGUUACUCUUGCUACCAUUGGAGACACUGCAAACUACGGGAAUCUCCCAUCUCCAUCAACAAGUUGGAAAACUCAAAUCUCUUAGAUUCCUCACUGAACCUUUUAUUCCCAUUUACUCAGUUUUUGGAGAUUGAUAGAUGGCUUUGAGGCGUUUUUUGGGAUUCUCAGAUGUUGAGCUGAUGAGGUCAGAUGCUAAACCUUGUUCCAGACUAAUGAGGCAGACAGCUGGAAUUUUUUCUUUUGGAGGAGCAUUAGGAUUCUGGAUUCUCUGUAGGUUGCAUUAUGGUCCUAGAAUUACAGUUCCUAAGAGCCUUCGCUGGGCUAUUUGUGGUACUAUUUCUGUGGGUUCAACCUCUGCACUCCUGGUCCGUCUUUUCAGCCCUGAAUGUGAACCCCAGAAUAUAGCUGCUUAUGACAAAAUAAAACAGUGAUACAUCACUAAUAAGGUUGAAACUAUAAUGUUCAAAAUGCGCCCAUCUAUCCUUUAUCCUAUUAUAGAUUUCCUUUGUUGACCGUCAAAACUAUUUGAUAUAGUGCCUGUUUGUGUAUAACUUGAUGUGUACUUCGUCCUGAGAAGGCUUUGUGGGAAAGUUAGCAUUGUCUGAGGAUUUGUAGUCCUUAAUUUAUCAAUAGCCUUGAAUAUUUAGCAUGCUUCUCAUGAGUUGGCUUCCAUCAUUAAUCUGUAGCAACUAGCAACACUAUAUCUCAUCAUAUAGUUUUGAUU
rnacentral:misc_RNA from 1 species